AAACAGGCUAUACCCAAACAACCACUUUUAGGCCCAUCUCAACUUUCAAGAACAUUCGCCAACUCAUUUUUGUUCCACAAAUAUCCGAUCACCUUUGAACUGCUGAUAAUUUUUUUACAAAACAAAAUUAAGAGUUUCUAGACUGACUUUGGUGAAAUGAUUCGAACUGAAACUUUAGUGCCUGCCAUAACCAAAUUCAGAACCAUGUUUCCAUAUGGAGGAAGAAUGGUUGGAACAAUGACACCUAAGAAACUAGCAAAUGAUGAUACUGGAGAAGCCCUGAUGAAUACGGAGAACAUUGCACCCCUCGUUGCUUUUAG